CCUACGGGCGGCAGCAGUGAGGAAUAUUGGUCAAUGGGCGAGAGCCUGAACCAGCCAAGUCGCGUGAGGGAGUACUGCCCUAUGGGUUGUAAACCUCUUUUGUCGGGGAGCAAAAGCCGGACGUGUCCGCGUGUGAGGGUACCCGAAGAAAAAGCAUCGGCAAACUCCGUUCCAGCAGCCGCGGUAAUACGGGGGAUGCCAGCGUUUUCCGGAUUUAUUGGGGGAAAGGGGUGCGCAGGGGGGUUUUUAAGUUCGCGGUAAAAUCGUUGGGUUAAACCCCAUCGAGCCGUUGAAACUGGGGAUCUAGAGUGUGCGAGAGGUAUGCGGAACGCGUGGUGUAGCGGUGAAAUGCAUAGAUAUAACGCAGAACCCCGAUGGCGAAGGCAGCAUACUGGUGCACAACUGACGCUCAGGCACGAAAGCGUGGGUAUCGAACAGGAUUAGAUACCCCAGUAGUC
rnacentral:rRNA from 1 species